GACGAACGCUGGCGGCGUGCUUAACACAUGCAAGUCGAACGAAGUGGCGAACGGGUGAGUCAUACGUGGGUAACCUGCCCUCCUUUUUGGGAUAAGCCUUUGAAACGGGGUCUAAUACCGAAUAAAGGGGGAUGGGCUCGCGGCCUAUCAGCUUUGUUGGGGGGUGAGGGCCUACCAAGGCGGUUACGGGUAGCCGGCCUGAGAGAGGGACCGGCCACAUGGGGGAGGGGAUAAGGCCCAGACUCCUACGGGAGGCAGCAGUGGGGGAUAUUGCAAAAGGGGCGAAAGGCUGAUGCAGCGACGCCGCGGGGGGGAUGAAGGCUUUAGGGUUGUAAACCGCUUUCGGUAGCGAACGGGUAGGUGGAGAAGAAGCGCCGGCUAACUACGUGCCAGCAGCCGCGGUAAUAC
rnacentral:rRNA from 1 species